rnacentral:lncRNA from 1 species
CUAUCAUGACAAUCGAAGUGAAAUAUGCAACCCAAAAAUAACUGAGAGGAACCAUGUCAGAGAGUCUUAGAACACCACAAGUAUGUUUCAAGGAACUUCCAAAUGAACUCCAGAUAUUAAUAGCUCAUAUCAGAACUUAUGUUUAUCAGUUACCAAACUUUUGCAAAAAGUCACAUUUAAAGAAAAUCAUUUUUAAAAAAAAGGACUUUAGCUAAUAGCUAUACAAGCAAUUUCAGCCUAAAUCUUUCUCAUGAACAUUUUAUGAAAAUACAGCCUUGAUUAUCACCAUCAAAUAAAAAUCCAAGAACUAAUAACUACAGUACAUCUAUCAUUAUUUCCAGUAUCAAACAGCCAGACGCAUCACUGGUUCUUGAAUGACUGCAAAUAGAAGAAAAACGUCAUCCAUAAGAAAUUACUUAUGAAUUACUUGUAGGAAGAAGAGCAUUAUUUCCUGUAUCAAACAGCCUGGAGCAUCACUGGUUCUUGAAUGACUGCAAANNNNNN